rnacentral:rRNA from 1 species
GACGAACGCUGGCGGCGUGCUUAACACAUGCAAGUCGAACGGAAAGGCCCUGCUUUUGUGGGGUGCUCGAGUGGCGAACGGGUGAGUAACACGUGAGUAACCUGCCCUUGACUUUGGGAUAACUUCAGGAAACUGGGGCUAAUACCGGAUAGGAGCUCCUGCUGCGUGGUGGGGGUUGGAAAGUUUCGGCGGUUGGGGAUGGACUCGCGGCUUAUCAGCUUGUUGGUGGGGUAGUGGCUUACCAAGGCUUUGACGGGUAGCCGGCCUGAGAGGGUGACCGGCCACAUUGGGACUGAGAUACGGCCCAGACUCCUACGGGAGGCAGCAGUGGGGAAUACUGCACAAUGGGCGGAAGCCUGAUGCAGCAACGCCGCGUGCGGGAUGACGGCCUUCGGGUUGUAAACCGCUUUCGCCUGUGACGAAGCGUGAGUGACGGUAAUGGGUAAAGAAGCACCGGCUAACUACGUG